rnacentral:rRNA from 1 species
AUUGAACGCUGGCGGCAGGCCUAACACAUGCAAGUCGAGCGGAGCGGCGGUCGGGUGAGUAAUGCCUAGGAAUCUGCCUGGCAGUGGGGGAUAACGUCCGGAAACGGGCGCUAAUACCGCAUACUAGCAGAUGAGCCUAGGUGGGAUUAGCUAGUUGGUGGGGUAAAGGCUUACCAAGGCGACGAUCCGUAACUGGUCUGAGAGGAUGACCAGUCAUACCGGAACUGGUACACUGUCGAGACUCCUACGGGAGGCAGCGUUGGGGAAUAUUGGGCAAGUGGCGAAAGCCUGAGCCAGCCAUGCCGCGUGGUUGAUGAAGGUCUUCGGAUUGUAAAGCACUUUAAGUUGGGAGGCGUUACCUACAGAAUUAGCACCGGCUAACUUCGUGCCAGCAGCCGCGGUAAUAC